UACGAAGGGGCGAGCGUUGUUCGGAAUUACUGGGCGUAAAGGGCGCGUAGGCGGCCUUGUUUGUCAGGCGUGAAAGCCCUGGGCUCAACCUGGGAGGUGGCGUUUGGGACGGCAAGGCUAGAGUUCGGGAGAGGAGACUGGAAUUUACGGUGUAGCGGUGAAAUGCGCAGAUAUCAGGAGGAACACCGGUGGCGAAGGCGGGUCUCUGGGCCGAUAAUUGACGCUGGAGGAGCGAAAGCGUGGGGAGCGAACAGG
rnacentral:rRNA from 1 species